UACGGGGGGGGCGAGCGUUAUUCGGAAUUAUUGGGCGUAAAGGGCGCGUAGGUGGCUUGGUAAGUCAAAGGUGAAAUCCCUCGGCUCAACUGAGGAAUUGCCUUUGAAACUGCCUGGCUUGAGGCCGGGAGGGGGUAGCGGAAUUCCAGGUGUAGCGGUGAAAUGCGUAGAUAUGCGGAGGAACACCGAUGGCGAAGGCAAUCCCCUGGACCUGUACUGACGCUCAUGCACGAAAGCGUGGGGAGCAAACAGG
rnacentral:rRNA from 1 species